rnacentral:rRNA from 1 species
GAUGAACGCUGGCGGCGUGCCUAAUACAUGCAAGUCGAGCGAACAGACGAGGAGCUUGCUCCUCUGACGUUAGCGGCGGACGGGUGAGUAACACGUGGAUAACCUACCUAUAAGACUGGGAUAACUUCGGGAAACCGGAGCUAAUACCGGAUAAUAUAUUGAACCGCAUGGUUCAAUAGUGAAAGACGGUUUUGCUGUCACUUAUAGAUGGAUCCGCGCCGCAUUAGCUAGUUGGUAAGGUAACGGCUUACCAAGGCGACGAUGCGUAGCCGACCUGAGAGGGUGAUCGGCCACACUGGAACGGAGACACGGUCCAGACUCCUACGGGAGGCAGCAGUAGGGAAUCUUCCGCAAUGGGCGAAAGCCUGACGGAGCAACGCCGCGUGAGUGAUGAAGGUCUUCGGAUCGUAAAACUCUGUUAUUAGGGAAGAACAAAUGUGUAAGGAACUAUGCACGUCUUGACGGUACCUAAUCAGAAAGCCACGGCUAACUACGUG